rnacentral:misc_RNA from 1 species
GAUGAAGAACGUAGCGAAAUGCGAUAAGUAAUGUGAAUUGCAGAAUUCAGUGAAUCAUCGAAUCUUUGAACGCACAUUGCGCCCGUCAGUAUUCUGGCGGGCAUGCCUGUUCGAGCGUCAUUACGCCCCUCAAGUCCCCUGUGGACUUGGUGUUGGGGAUCGGCGAGGCUGGUUUUCCAGCACAGCCGUCCCUUAAAUUAAUUGGCGGUCUCCGUGGCCCUCCUCUGCGCAGUAGUAAAACACUCGCAACAGGAGCCCGGCGCGGUCCACUGCCGUAAAACCCCCCAACUUUUUAUAGUUGACCUCGAAUCAGGUAGGACUACCCGCUGAACUUAAGCAUAUCAAUAAGCGGAGGA